UGUGUAUUUUCAGAUUCUAGUGCACUCCAGCUGGUUUCUCCAUUCUUACCUACAUACCUUUAAACAUUCAGUUUAAAGAAACACUGAGAAAUGACAUUCUCUGAUCUGUUUGUUGUUAGGAGCAAAGCACAUCCUAGACAUGUUUUUUAUAUAUCUGUAUAUAUCUGAGACCCAUUAUACCUUCAAAUAGCAUGAUAGGAGACCUUUAAGGUUAUGUGAUGAAUAUACAAAGAACGUGAGAUUUAUGCAAUAACAAAUCUUUGAAAUUCUCCAAAAAAAGGUUAAUUUACAAGAAAAAGUCAUGUUUGUUGUGUUUCACCGGAUGUUAAUAAAGUUUGUUUUGUUCCUGCUGCAGCGUGUUAAUAAAGUGUAUUUGUUGUGAGUGACUGUGUUCUUCCCCUGAAGACUGAAGCAGCGCUUCAGCGAGGACGAGCGGGAAUAGUACGUUGCUGCUCCGCCAUGUUUGGUUUGUCCUAACAACUUCCUCCGGUUCAUUAACAGGAGCUGUUCUCUGAUUGGUGCACUAACACCUCCUCUUCCUCCUUUCUCCUUCUUCUUCGUUGGUACAGGGGUUACUGGUGCCACCUCUCUGGUUGUAUGAAGGUGAUCAGUGCCACAUGUAGAGAUGAGGGUCUGAUAUCUGAGUUAUACAUCAAGUGAUCAGGAGAGAGUGCUGCCCCCUACUGAGGUACACACUUUGCUACCUGGAGUGUGUACUCAGUGUAAAGUACUUUAAGUAGGUAAAAGUACUCUUUCUACAGAACGCUAAUUACAUUUUUUGUUUUCAAUUAAUUUAGUUUGAUUGAACUAAUAGAUUUAAAAAAAAAUGGGAAAUAAUAAAUAUUAAAGCGGAGGUUAAAAAUCUACACUCACAUGUGGCACUAAUCACUGCUCAUACACCAUCAACACUGGUGUGUGUGUGUGUGUGUGUGUGUGUGUGUGUGUGUGUGUGUGUGUGUGUGUGUGUGUGUGUGUGUGUGUGUGCAAAUGUUACACUAACAGAUGUGGUGCUAACGUGUGAUGCUAACAGCUGUGAUGCUAACAUGCGAUGCUAACCCUGCUCCCACACUUUGCUUCAUUUGAUACAUAACGUCAGCCGGCGGCGAGACAGAGAUAACUAUGAGCCGGUGCAAAGGUAACGGGUCGAGCGUGUUUAUCUCUGUGUCGUGACCCCGUGAACCCGUGCUAGCUAGAUAGUUAGCUGCUUAGCUAAUGCCAAACAUCCAGAGAUGGGAGAAGUAACAGAAAUACGGCAUUGAAUAAAAUACUGCAUCAAAAAUACUACCUUUUUAAAAAUACUGCAUUUAAAGUCCUAACAUCAAUGUUUACAUUAAAUUAAUAGAGAAGUAUUCCCAGGUCAAUUUAAAGUAUUGCAAAUAGUUUAUUUAUUGUAUUUGAGCAAAAAUACAGAAUUAUUCUUAGUGAAUUGUAAUGACGUAAAGCACUUGUUCUACUGAAUGUGCUUUAGUAGUAAGAGAGGAGGACUUGUAUUUAGAGUAACGAGCUAGCUUCAAGGCAACACAGAACGAGCUAGCUUCAAGGCAGCACAGAACGAGCUAGCUUCAAGGCAGCACAGAACGAGCUAGCUUGAAGGAAGCACAGAAUGAGCUAGCUUCAAGGCAGCACAGAAUAUCUACAAAAUGAAACUGUUUAUUUUUAACGUGUUGCACCCUGACGACCAUCCUAUCCUCACUGUGUUGUUUUAUUGCAGCUGUGUCAAUAAAGGUGUGUGUUUCUACUUCCUGUUAGCUCCCUCUGUCUUCAGCAGGGCGGCUACAUGCUAACAGCUAACGGCUCACUUCCUGUUUCACAGCGUUGCCUCGGCGAUGCACUCGGAGACUCCGGACCGAUACGAGCGACUCACCUCCGUCUCCAGCUCCGUGGACUUCGACCAGAGGGACAACGGUUUCUGCUCCUGGCUGACGGCCAUCUUCAGAAUAAAGGAUGAGGAGAUCAGGGAGAAGUGU